CCCAUGCCAUGCCCAGCAUAAUCUACCUACGGUAUUCUAUAUUCUGCCCUACAGGGAAGGAUGAGAAGCUUCGACUAAGGUUCGACUCGAGCGAAGCGAGAGAACGUUGCCGCAGGCAACGGCCCGAAGGGCGAGGCGCUUUAGCGCCGAGUAAUCCUUCCCCCACCACCA
rnacentral:sRNA from 1 species